CAUUAAUAUUAGUAUCUCAAGUAGAUUACAAGGUUGAAUUCUGAGGCUAUAUAGGAAUAUAGCCUUCCUGGUCUUUUUCAUACUGCUGCAAAAAAUAACCAGAUAAUCCUUUGUCUGUUUACUUGGGAACCAGCUGUUAUCUUCCUUUCUAGUGGGACCCUUUUAAGGAUUCCUUUAGAAAACUUGGGGAAGUAGAAGGCUAAAGACAAGCCACAGCCUGAAGCCCAUGCCACUGACUUGAGCACAGAUGGGGGAAUGUUAGCAGUGAAGAAGUAUCAGGCCUUUGGCUCCUUUCCCAGAACUGCCAGGUUAAGACCUUGGCAGAAACUCAACAGGAAACUGAACUCUAUUUGCAUAUCCUUUUAUACAUGGGAGAUUAAAAGCUUCAGCCUUGAGUGAUCACAGUUUUUGAGAAUCAUGAUGAGGCAUUAAGAAGAGAAGGAGCAUCCCAAGGGAGGUGAGCUGGAGGCAAAGCAAGGAAAUGGGAACAACUGACCAUACAGUCAUAGACGGUGAGAACUGGAAGAGACCUCAGGCUGUAUCGGUUCCAGCUCCUUCACCUUAUAAAUGAGACCAGAGAGGUGAAAUGAUUUGCAAAAGUUCUCACAGGGCAGAACCGGGACUGCGCCCAUCCCCACCCCACUUGGGGCUAAUUAAUGGAAUUCCACCACCUGGCCUUGAAAAAUGCAAGUCUUCUAAACUACUGGUGAAAGAGAUCUCAGCAAGAUAAGAACAAAAAACCAUUCCCCAUCUUCCCAAGUUACAGAAAAACUGGUACCUUGUGUGUCACAAAAAUGUUAUUUGUAACAGAGGAGUCCUGCAAACAUCCGUACUCCAAAGCUUGGGCUCUCCUCCCUCCCUGAAGCCUUGCUCACAUGUCACUUUCUCAUUGUAGUCUUUCUCGACCACCUGAUUUGGAAAUUGUCAUCUUCCCCAUCCUCCUGACAACACAUACUCUUUGCUUUAUUCUUCUCCAUGGCAAUUAUCACCAUCUAACAUGUAUUUUAUUUAUUUAUUUUAUUCUGUAUCUAUUUUCACUAAAAUAUAAGCUCCAUUAGCUUCUGAGAGCUAAGGAUUUUUAUCUAUUUUGUUUAUUGCUCUAUUCCCUAUGUAUCUAGAAAACUACCUGGCACAUACUCGUCGCUGUUGAGUCAAUUCCGACUCUUUGCGACCCUAUAGGACAGACUAGAACAGCCACCUAGGGUUUCCAAGGAGUGGCUGGUGGAUUCAAACUGCUGACCUUUUGGUUAGCAGCAGAGUUCAUAACCACUGCGCCACCAGGGCUCCUAUCUGGCACAUAGUAGGUACUUAAUAUAUUGUGAUAGAAUAAAUAAAUGAAGGUUAUUAUAUGAAAGCAACUUUAGUCUCCAAAAGUCAGUACACUGGAUUGUUUUCUUUUCCCAUAAUUUGUUUCCCUAGUAGUAAUAUUUAUACUGACCUUUCCUUUUCUGAAAAUUAUAAAUAUGCAUAAGGUUUUGUCCUUAAGCCAAAAGAGAAUAAUCUAAACUUCUCUAUUUUCCCACACGUAUGCAGGUAAAAAUAAAACUAAUGGCUGUUAGAUUUCUUAUUUAAACACAGAGUUUGAGAAUCUGUCCUUAUUUAGGUUAAUACAAGCAAUUGCAUUUUGGCUUGACAUCUUUGUCCCACCACCAGGUCUUUUUCCUAAUGAGUGUGGCAUGCUGGAUGGCACACUGCUCCAUUGGCUGGCUGUUGUCAUGGGAGCCAUUGAGCAUCCAGAGUCUACCAUCAGAGAAUUCCUUCAAUAUUUGAUGCUACAAUAUCAUUCAUGAAUGUUUGUGUUUGUGUACAUGUGAAUUGCUACAAAACAAACAAACAAAGACCCCAAUGGAUUCUGCAUUCUUGAAAUAUACCUGAAUCAUUUGGUAGUGGUGGUGGCAGUGGUAGGGCGAGGGGGAAUUAGGAAUUGCUCUUUUCUUUAGUGAGUGUUUUUUGUGCCUUCUAGUUAUGAAACAGCAUGCCUCAGCAGGUCUGUGCAGAGAGAUAGGGAGAGACUUUACAAAAUACCCCUGUGAAAUAAAGUAGAAAUGUACAGUUUUUCCCUGACAGUCUAAGACUCAGGGCUGGGGCACUGGGGCUCAGAGGAGAGAAAAGCUGGUGAAAGGAGAAAACCUUCCAUUCUCCCCAUUUUAUCCCUCCAUGGGGGGAUGACCAAGGAACUUAGGAGCAUUGAUACUUGCUCUCCAAGAGUAAGUUAUUUAGUAUUCUAGAGCACUUUAUUAUCAAACCUUCAAAAACCCUUGUUGCAGCCAAUAGCAUUUUGUUAGUGGACAGAUGAGGCUCUGGGAAAGAAUUUCAGAGGGCAAAGUCAGCACCAGUCUUGUGUACCACUGAAUCCCCAGCACCCAGCCCAGAGCGAGGUUCAUAGUACUCACCCAUUAAUAUUUCACUCACUCAUUCAUUCAACAUAUUGAUUGAGUGCUUAUUAUGUGCCAGACAUUGUUCUAAGUGCCGGAGUUAAGGCAAUGAGCAAAACAGACAAAAAUAUCUGCCACCAUGGAGCCUGUAUUUUAGUGGGGAGCUAGACAAAAAAUAAACAAGUAAAAUAUAUAGCACAUCAAAUGGGGAUAAAUGCUAUGGAGACAAAUUAAGCAGAGAUAAGGGAUGGCUUCUGCUGGAAGAAUGAAUGAAGGGUUCCAACAAAAAAAAAUUAGAGCUGUAUAAUCCUAUCAUUUAAAUUAAUAUUUGGUGGCAAUAAGUUGAGUUGAAGAGUAAGAAAGAAGCCUUGAUUCUGGAAUUUGUUCACCUUAUCUGUGUGGAAAAUUUAUCAGCCAUCAUUUAUUGUCAUAAGACACUGCAACAGGCUAAAGCCCUACCUAAAGCUGGGAAGAUUUGGUUUGAACUCAAUUCUCUUCUUGGCUUGGUGGCUCCUGUACCUCAAUCCAUUGCUGUGCUUGCUGGUGUCAGGUUGUUUCUCUGUAACUGCAGAGAACAGUAGAUGCUAGGUCUUGAGCCGUUUUGCUGCCUUGACAUAAGUGACAAUAAGUCAGUGACAAUAUAAGAGACAAACUUGGGCAUGUUGCCUCACAGUACAAAUAUGUAUGGGUGGUAAAGUUAGCAAUUCUAUGAACCUGUCAGAAACUCAAGGAAUUUCCCCAGGUCUCAGACCCCUUUAGCUGUCAUUGCAGACAGCCCUGAGAAGAAAAGAAAAGGCAGUGACUCCCAGAGACUCUAAGGGUGUCCAACAAAAUGCUACCUUUGAGAAGCAUCAGAAGGAAGCGGUAUGUGGGCUCACUUCCCACUGUGUGGCCUGGAAGAAAAGCUGCUGACCUGGGGGUGGUGCUCAGGAGUGCGAUAUAAAUGGCGGGGGCUGGUAGGUAGCAGCUGUCCUCCUUCCACCAGGGGAGUGAGGUGUCUUGGAAGAACAACCAGUGUUUUAAAGCAGGGGAGGGAGGUGGGAGGAGUUAGUUGUCCCUUUCCCCAUUUGAGGCUCAUCGGAGAGUUGAAGGCAGGGGUGCCUGUGAGGGGUGGCUGCAUAUUUGACCUCCGCAUCAGCAAAGCUGACUGGACUUCACACAUUUGUUCCCUGUUGUUCCUUAAUCAGAUAUUGUUACAGGUGAUUUAUUUCUUUAUUUCUCACGGCCCCUAACCCAUUGUCAGGGUAAUCAACCUUUGAGUCGGACCCAGAUCCUGGCUCCAGUUCUGUAACCUUAGGCAAGCUACUCAGUCUCUCUGAGUAAGUCUUCCAAUUUGUAAAACGGAGUCGACAAUAUGACCUCAGAGGGUUGACAUAAGGGUUAGGUGAGUCCACACCUAUAAAGUGGCUAGCCCUUUGUUGACUUUGGUCCUCAAUCAUUCCACCUGAUCAUCUGUUCUUUUUUAUGCUAAGUAACAUGUAUUGAGUAACUGCUGUGUGCAAUGCAAUUUACUUAAUUCCUAGCAUUAGAUUUUUAUAACAACACUGAGAAGCUGGUACUCAUUAUUCCCAUUGCACAGAAGAAGAGGUACACAUGACUUUAGAAGAUAGUGUGAAGCUUAUGUCAGGACCAAAAAAUCUCAAUGUUAGAAGGCAUCUGAGAGAUCCUCUGGGACCACUGCUCCCUGUCCCAGUUUUCUGACAGAUGGUCAUUUCUGACACAUCCUGGAGACAGCCUCCACAGUUCUCCCACCCCCAUGAAUCACAUGCUGUGUCCUCUAGAGCACUCUCCAGAGUCUGGGACCUGUCUCCCUCCCGUACUAGCUGUGGUAGCUUGAGCAAAAGUUUUACCUUUUCUGAACCUUAAUGCCCUCAUUUGUAAAAUGGAGAUAAUAAUAGAAAAUCCACCAUAGGUUUACUGUGCAGAUUAAAUCAUAUUAACACAUGUCAAAUACUUAGAAUAGUGCCUGGCAUAUAGUAAGCACUCAACAAAUGUUAGCUGAUAUUCUUAGCUAAAAUACAGUUUUACGGAUUUGUCCAGAUCAUAUUAGCUAACAUACAGUUUUGUGGAUUGGUCUAGUUCUUUUUCCUCUUUCUCCUCGAAGACGUUCUUCCCAGUCUCUUACCAGGAAUUUAUCACGCAGGCCUUAUUACUGUGGUUUCAAAACUUUGACAUCAAGAUUUCAAACGGGGGAAAAGUUGUAUCCCUUCAGUCUUGGAGACACACUACAUCUUUCCUGCCUAUCAUUUGUUCAGAUGAGAAUAACUGGAUAUGAGUAGCUGUCAGUGGGCUUGAUGAGUAAGAUAGGCCCUUUGGUAAUCUGGAUACAUUCUAGGAAGAUUAGGUUCAAACUCCCUUCCCAGAAUGUGGGCUUAAGUUUCCCAAUUUGGAUGGGACUCUGGGAAUCUGAUUUUAUUCAAGGGCAGAGUUGAUAUCUAGAGUCUUGCGGACACACUAACCAAAGAAGCCAUCCAAAUGGGUGGGACAGAGUGGUAGAAGCUAGCUAUGAGGCCAGUAUUGGGCACCAGAGACAGUAAUUUGGCUUCGGAUGGAGAGAACAAAGACUCUUGAGGACCUGGAAUAUAGCUGUUUGGGAAAAUAACUUGACAAGAGCUUCAUGAAGAGUCACGGCCAAAAUGCAAGGAACAAUUACAAAGCAGUAAGUUAUAGUGCAUAUGCUACAAAGGCAGAAAGAAUUCAGAGAAGGGAGAGAUCUCCAUAUGUCAAAGGAGGUGGAACCGAGCAAAGUCUUAAAAGACAGGUGGAAUCACAAGAGGUGGAGGGAUCUGGAAGAUCCUUGGUUGGAACAGCGAGGAGCCCUGACUGCAAUGAAAUGUGUGUGAUGGCAAAUGUUUGUCAGCCUCUUUGUACAUCUGUGGAGGGCAGGGUUUUUGAUUAGAGUGGUUAGUUUAAGGCAGAGGUCCCCACGCUGUAGAAAAUUCCACUGCCUCAAGCAGCUUACUCGGCCUUCCCUGUAACUUUUCUUUAGAAUCUUAGCUCCUUGCUUGGCCUGCCUAGUAAAAAUCCUGGCGAUGCAUGAAGUUAUAUGUAAACUUCAUUGCGCCUGCAUAGUAUGAUUAAAAAUGUUGCUGAUGUAAUUUGUAUGAACUCCCUUCUUGUAAACCCCUUAAAAAUAACCUUUGCCCUUGCCCUUGCAGAGCAGUCUUGGCAGCAGCAGUUCCAACUGACUCCUUUCCUUUCACAACAAAAUAAAGGCACCUUUCUGCUCUCCCACCUCAGUCUCUCAUUUAUUGCCCGAUAUGAGUCACACUGAGCAGAACCUGAGGUUUCCACAAGUUGCAGAAAGUUUUCCCUAGACAUUGCCUAACAUAGUCUAAUGAAGUUUUUUCGUUUUUGAUUGACUUUAAACUUAAAAAAAUAUUUUUACAGCUUUACUGAGUAUCUUAGGCUGGGUUCUCUAGAGAAGCAAAACCAGUGAAGU